rnacentral:rRNA from 1 species
GUUAUGGCUUACCAAGGCGACGACGGGUAGCCGGCCUGAGAGGGUGACCGGCCACACUGGGACUGAGACACGGCCCAGACUCCUACGGGAGGCAGCAGUGGGGAAUAUUGCACAAUGGGCGGAAGCCUGAUGCAGCGACGCCGCGUGAGGGAUGAAGGCCUUCGGGUUGUAAACCUCUUUCAGCAGGGACGAAGCGUGAGUGACGGUACCUGCAGAAGAAGCACCGGCUAACUACGUGCCAGCAGCCGCGGUAAUACGUAGGGUGCGAGCGUUGUCCGGAAUUACUGGGCGUAAAGAGCUCGUAGGUGGUUUGUCGCGUUGUUCGUGAAAACCUGAGGCUUAACCUUGGGCGUGCGGGCGAUACGGGCAGACUGGAGUACUGCAGGGGAGACUGGAAUUCCUGGUGUAGCGGUGGAAUGCGCAGAUAUCAGGAGGAACACCGGUGGCGAAGGCGGGUCUCUGGGAAACAACUGACGCUGAGGAACGAAAGCGUGGGUAGCAAACAGGAUUAGAUACCCUGGUAGUCCACGCCGUAAACGGUGGGCGCUAGGUG